CAACCUAGCCCAUCUGAAAGUGUUCCCUCCUUCGCUAAAAAAAUUAGGUCACUCUCCCUCCCAAAUCGCUCUCAGCCUUUCUCUCACUCGCCAUCGCUCUUAGCCUCAAUCCCGCUCACCCUCUCACCCUUGUCAAGCCUCUCAGCCUCACUCUCACUCAGCCUCGUCUCUCUCCUUCGCGCGCGCCUUCAGUCUCUCCGCCAUGGGUUCUCUCUCCAUCAGUCUCCCUCAGUCGCCACUCCAUAUCUCUCUCUCUCCCCCUCCCCCUUAGGAUCCACGGGUUCACUCUUCAGCCUCCAUCUCUCUCUCCUUAUUUCGUGACACGGGUUGGGUGCACCGGCGUUGUGUUUUUGGUAGAGGAGAAAGAUGAACGACUCAUAUUGUAAUUUUUAAUAAUAAAAUUCAGCUCGUUUUCUCGC